UGGCGGACGGGUGAGUAAUGUCUGGGAAACUGCCUGAUGGAGGGGGAUAACUACUGGAAACGGUAGCUAAUACCGCAUAACGUCGCAAGACCAAAGAGGGGGACCUUCGGGCCUCUUGCAAUCGGAUGUGCCCAGAUGGGAUUAGCUAGUAGGUGGGGUAACGGCUCACCUAGGCGACGAUCCCUAGCUGGUCUGAGAGGAUGACCAGCCACACUGGAACUGAGACACGGUCCAG
rnacentral:rRNA from 1 species